rnacentral:rRNA from 1 species
CCUACGGGAGGCUGCAGUGGGGAAUAUUGGACAAUGGGCGAAAGCCUGAUCCAGCCAUGCCGCGUGUGUGAAGAAGGCCUUCGGGUUGUAAAGCACUUUCAGUGGGGAAGAAAGCCUUGGGGCUAAUACCCUCGAGGAAGGACAUCACCCACAGAAGAAGCACCGGCUAACUCCGGGCCAGCAGCCGCGGUAAUACGGAGGGUGCGAGCGUUAAUCGGAAUUACUGGGCGUAAAGCGCGCGUAGGCGGUCUGAUAAGCCGGUUGUGAAAGCCCCGGGCUCAACCUGGGAACGGCAUCCGGAACUGUCAGGCUAGAGUGCAGGAGAGGAAGGUAGAAUUCCCGGUGUAGCGGUGAAAUGCGUAGAGAUCGGGAGGAAUACCAGUGGCGAAGGCGGCCUUCUGGACUGACACUGACGCUGAGGUGCGAAAGCGUGGGUAGCAAACAGGAUUAGAUACCCCGGUAGUC